rnacentral:tRNA from 1 species
AUUAAGAUGUCUGAAAAAAGUGGUAAACUGUAAAUUUGCUCAUGGGUUAGAACCCUCUUAAUA